rnacentral:tRNA from 17 species
GCGAGAGUGGCGGAAUUGGUAGACGCACUGGAUUUAGGUUCCAGCGCCGCAAGGCGUGGGGGUUCGAGUCCCCCCUUUCGCACCA